rnacentral:rRNA from 1 species
UACAGAGGGUGCAAGCGUUAAUCGGAAUUACUGGGCGUAAAGCGCGCGUAGGUGGUUCGUUAAGUUGGAUGUGAAAUCCCCCGGGCUCAACCUGGGAACUGCACUCAAAACUGACGAGCUAGAGUAUGGUAGAGGGUGGUGGAAUUUCCUGUGUAGCGGUGAAAUGCGUAGAUAUAGGAAGGAACACCAGUGGCGAAGGCGACCACCUGGACUGAUACUGACACUGAGGUGCGAAAGCGUGGGGAGCAAACAGG